UACGUAGGUGGCAAGCGUUGUCCGGAUUUACUGGGCGUAAAGAGCGCGCAGGCGGUCGUUCAAGUCGCGUGUGAAAGCCCCCGGCCCAACUGGGGAGGGUCACGCGAUACUGAUCGACUCGAAGGCAGGAGAGGGUAGUGGAAUUCCCGGUGUAGUGGUGAAAUGCGCAGAUAUCAGGAGGAACACCGGUGGCGAAGGCGGGUCUCUGGGCCGAUACUGACGCUGAGGAGCGAAAGCGUGGGGAGCGAACAGG
rnacentral:rRNA from 1 species